rnacentral:rRNA from 1 species
ACGGAGGGUGCAAACGUUGCUCGGAAUCAUUGGGCGUAAAGCGCACGUAGGCGGCCUGUUAAGUCGGGUGUGAAAGCCCUGGGCUCAACCCAGGAAGUGCACUCGAAACUGACGGGCUUGAAUAUGGAAGAGGGUCGCGGAAUUCCCGGUGUAGAGGUGAAAUUCGUAGAUAUCGGGAGGAACACCAGUGGCGAAGGCGGCGACCUGGGCCACAUCUGACGCUGAGGCGCGAAAGCUAGGGGAGCAAACAGGA